GUACCCCUAGGUUCAGGAUAACGACUGGAAACGGUCGCUAAUACUGGAUACGUCCGAGAGGAGAAAGAUUUAUUGCCGAGGGAGCGGCCCGCGUUAGAUUAGGUAGUUGGUUGGGUAAUGGCUAACCAAGCCUGUGAUCUAUAGCUGGUCUGAGAGGAUGAUCAGCCACACUGGGACUGAGACACGGCCCAGACUCCUACGGGAGGCAGCAGUGGGGAAUAUUGGACAAUGGGGGAAACCCUGAUCCAGCAAUGCCGCGUGAGUGAAGAAGGCCUUCGGGUUGUAAAGCUCUUUUGUCAGGGACGAUAAUGACGGUACCUGACGAAUAAGCUCCGGCUAACUUCGUGCCAGCUGCCGCGGUAAUACGAAGGGAGCUAGCGUUGUUCGGAAUGACUGGGCGUAAAGGGCGCGUAGGCGGUCGCGUGCGUCAAAUGUGAAAUCCCUGGGCUUAACCUAAGAAUGGCAUUUGAUACGGCGCGACUAGAGUACGAUAGAGGAUGGCGGAAUUUACAAGUGUARAAGUGAAAUUCGUA
rnacentral:rRNA from 1 species